rnacentral:rRNA from 1 species
AACGAACGCUGGCGGCAUGCCUAACACAUGCAAGUCGAACGAGACCUUCGGGUCUAGUGGCGCACGGGUGCGUAACGCGUGGGAAUCUGCCCUGGGGUGCGGAAUAACUCGGAGAAAUCCGUGCUAAUACCGCAUAAUGUCUUCGGACCAAAGAUUUAUCGCCCUGGGAUGAGCCCGCGUAGGAUUAGCUAGUUGGUGGGUAAAGGCCUACCAAGGCGACGAUCCUUAGCUGGUCUGAGAGGAUGAUCAGCCACACUGGGACUGAGACACGGCCCAGACUCCUACGGGAGGCAGCAGUGGGGAAUAUUGGACAAUGGGCGAAAGCCUGAUCCAGCAAUGCCGCGUGAGUGAUGAAGGCCCUAGGUGUAAGCUCUUUACCCGGUACGUGAUAAUGACAGUACCGGAGGAAUAAGCUCGGCUAACUACCGUGCCAGCAGCCGCGGUAAU